rnacentral:rRNA from 1 species
CAGUAGCCGCGGUAAUACAGAGGGUGCGAGCGUUAAUCGGAUUUACUGGGCGUAAAGCGUGCGUAGGCGGCUUUUUAAGUCGGAUGUGAAAUCCCUGAGCUUAACUUAGGAAUUGCAUUCGAUACUGGGAAGCUAGAGUAUGGGAGAGGAUGGUAGAAUUCCAGGUGUAGCGGUGAAAUGCGUAGAGAUCUGGAGGAAUACCGAUGGCGAAGGCAGCCAUCUGGCCUAAUACUGACGCUGAGGUACGAAAGCAUGGGGAGCAAACAGGAUUAGAUACCCCAGUAGUCCCUGUCUCUUAUGU